rnacentral:rRNA from 1 species
UACGUAGGUGACAAGCGUUGUCCGGAUUUACUGGGCGUAAAGAGCGCGCAGGCGGUCGUUCAAGUCGAGUGUGAAAGCCCCCGGCUCAACUGGGGAGGGUCACUCGAUACUGAUCGACUCGAAGGCAGGAGAGGGAAGUGGAAUUCCCGGUGUAGUGGUGAAAUGCGUAGAUAUCGGGAGGAACACCAGUGGCGAAGGCGACUUCCUGGCCUGUUCUUGACGCUGAGGCGCGAAAGCGUGGGGAUCAAACAGG